GGGGGCGUGGCACAACCCGGUAACUGCCCCGGACUGUUAAUCCGAGGGGCUGCGUGCAUCACCACGCGGCUGAGGGUUCAAAUCCCUUCGCCCCCGCCA
rnacentral:tRNA from 1 species